UGAUCCAGAUGCAGAACUCUCAUCUCCUUCUCUGGCACCAUGUCUGACUAUGCACCACCAUAAUGGACUAAACCUCUAAACAUGUAAGCCAAACCCCAGUCUGGCCAGUGGAAUCAGAGCCUCCUCCUGGCUGCCUACAGAAGAGUUUCCUCCUGACUGCCUUUGGAUCAAGAUGUAGAACUCUCAGAUCCUCCAGCCCCACAUCUGCCUGGACACUGCCAUGCUUCCCACCUUGAUGAUAAUGGACUAAACCUCUGAAACUGGAGAAACUCGCCAAAGAACUUCUCAUGGUAUUCCAGCUGAUUCUUGCUGCUUCUGCUGACCCAUGCCAAGCCUCAUGGUUUCUGCUAGAUUGAGCCACUGCUACUGAUUUAUGUUUGGUGUUUACUAUUGAACUGGACUGCUACUAUCCUGACAAUGAAGAGGAGAAGCACACCAGAGAACUACUUGUAAACAGGUCUAUAACCCCUUGUCCUAAUAACCGCCUUUCUUCCUUACCUUUAGUCAGUGGGCUAGAAGGGAGGUUGAAGCAUUUAAAAGCCCUAAAUAAAGCAAGGUUUGG